rnacentral:sRNA from 1 species
AAGAAAGUGACUGCCGCCCCGCACAGGGGCAACGCUAAUAGACCACUAAGAAAACGGGAUCCAGCGAAACCAAUCGCGCAAGCAGAAAAUCAGAACAACGCUUCGUCAAAAUCCAUC